UAGCCUAGAGGUUAAGGCAAUGGAUCGCCAAUCCGGAGACGGCGGGUUCGAUUCCCGU
rfam:Aedes albopictus isolate Foshan contig40427, whole genome shotgun sequence.